GUGAAGGAAAUGAACAUGAUUCAGCACAAGAGCCGAUCAGGAAUGUGGAGGCCAGACUCUCCCAUCAGGCUCCGCUCCCCUCCCGCCACCUCGGCAGAGGCCCCAGACUGCACCUGCCGGAUGGGAUCCCGUAGUGCCACAGAGCCUGGGCACCAUGCCACUCCUCUCUCCAAGAACACCACCGCCUGGCAGGCUGCCAGGAACAGCCAAGCCCUGUGGACAUCACUCCCAGAAAUCCAACCACACGGAAAGCAAACGUGCUGUGUCUCAUGACAGUACUAACAAGCCUGGUAAAUCAGCCCACAGUUGCACAGCCGUAGCUGGGGAAUCCAAGUGCUUUCUGAGGACACACUGACGACAGCAGCAGACACACACGCGUACGCACAUCUUCACGGCACACAGACUCACUAAGGUAUGCCACGAGCCUACAGGUUUUCAAUACCAUACAGUGGAUAACAGUGGUGGUGGUGGGUCUCCGCCCUCAGGAAGCACUUGACCUUAUCUGACAAACAAAAGGAACAUCAGGGAAAAACUCUGCAUGGAUUGAAUGCCUCCCAGUGUGGCAGGAACUAAGAGCCACAUGGAUCUCUGAGCUUCGGCUGACAUGCCCAGGAAGGUGGCCCUGGAAAGGUAGUAACGACCUGUCCAGUCUCCACAUCUCCAGGGAGUCUCCAGGUGUCUGUCCAUUGCUCAGCUCCACUUGAGGGGGGCUCAUGGUUGAGGAUCUGCUGAAGUUAGUCAGGGGAGAGGAAACAGUCUCCUCCUUGAACUACAAUCCAGGAUGCCUCCCAGGCGAGUGAAGGACCUAGGGACUGGAAUCUCAUUGGCCCCAGGGCUGUGCCCCUGGACUCGCUCUCGGGAAGCCAAGCCAGGUCCAACUGAUAACCGCAUUCCUUGAGGACCCUCGGCCGGGAGUGACUGCCAGUGGGCAGACAGGAAGAAAAGAGCCCUGGCCCAGAUCAGGCAGGCAUCCCUGCUUCCCCGCCCACCGACUGUCCCCGGAGACCAGCCUCCUUCUCUGCCUGCGGAGGAGAGCAGUGGGGACAUUAUGCCAACAGGUCCCCUUCGGCGGGCCUCACCCGGCCAGCCUUCCUCCGCCCUGCCCUGAGGCCCCACAUUCAGCGGAAGCGCCGAGGCACCUGCUGCCAGACAGGGCUCCAUCCCCGCGGAAGGGGCCCCUGGGCGGUGCCCCUCGGUGCCCCCGGCUUCCUCGGUUAGGGAUG
rnacentral:lncRNA from 1 species